GUGAGAGGGCACCUCGCCUGGGGACAGAUUACAAAAGCGUCCCGCCAGAGGAAUGCUUCAGGUAGAGCUAGGGGUGGAUUGCAAGAAGAGUACCUUCUUUCAAUCGCUUUUGCUAAACACACACCCUCACACGCAAAAACACGCCCUCCAAGGUGGAGUGAAACGGGGUGCGGGGGUGGGGACGGCGGUGGAAGGAAGAAGACUUUUAUUACUCAAUCUGGAAAGUGCAAAUACACACAUGAACCUGUUAGCCGAUGGGCCCACUCUGCAUGGGUGGUGGACGACGACCCUGGCUCAGGAUUCUGCAGGAAACAAGUGAUGAUAGAGGUGUCAUUAGGAACUUUAUGGAUAUUUAUGCGCCUCCCUUUCAUUGCCAUUUGGAAACUCCUCACGCAGAAGUCAAGGAAACUCCAAUCCCACUUAAACUUCAUUGCGGAGAAACAGAGUUCUGAAAAAAAAGCAGCUACCAUGGACCUCUCUUUUAAACGCAAGUACACCCACACACAUUCGGAUACCAAGGAAGGAAGGAAAGAAAGAAAGGAAAGAAAAGGGAGGGGAGGAAGGAAGAGCAAAGUCCUCUCUAAAAGUCUCAAUUAUAUAUAUAGCCUCUGAUUGUCACCUCUCCUCCGUCCCACCAUUUUUCGUACUUGUAUUGGGUGGCAGGGACACUUUUCAAGAGUUCUGUGUUCGAUUGUUCACUCUGAGUACCUCUCCACCAUCCUCCAGUCGUUGCCCUCAUUGGGAGAGAUGCUUGCUACUCUGCUAGUACCACGCCUUGGUUCCGGUCUUUACUGUUGGCUGGUAGGUCGGGAGGCACCUCUAGCAUGAGACAGUGUCUGGAAGCCAGGAUUUCCCUCAUCUAUAUGCGCCGGUCCCCAGCUCCCUGGUCGCCAGGGUUUCUCUCCAGUUGAAUUCCGUGUUCCUUCAGGUUGAACAGUAGCUUCAGCGGUUUUUCACGCUCAGAAAUGAUGAGGCCCAAUUCCAAUCUUCCCUCCCGCCGGAAGUAAGAAGGGGAAUUCUGAGUUGCUUGUCGCCUGACAGCUUAAAAUAGCAACGAAAACAGCCAGCAUCUUUGCUUAAAAACCCAAGACAGAUAUCCAUGGCUGUGGAUCAACUUCUGUGGCUCUGUUCCCCUUGUCUUCUCAC
rnacentral:lncRNA from 10 species